AUUGAACGCUGGCGGCAGGCCUAACACAUGCAAGUCGAGCGGAGCGGCGGACGGGCGAGUAAUUCCUAGGUAUCUGCCUGGUUGUGGGGGAUAACGUCCGGAAACGGGCGCUAACUCCGCAUUCUAUCAGAUGAGUCUAGGUCGGAUUAGCUAGUUGGUGGGGUAAAGGCCUACCAAGGCGACGAUCCGUAGCUGGUCUGAGAGGAUGAUCAGCCACACUGGAACUGAGACACGGUCCAGACUCCUACGGGAGGCAGCAGUGGGGAAUAUUGGACAAUGGGCGAAAGCCUGAUGCAGCCAUGCCGCGUGUGUGAAGAAGGUCUUCGGAUUGUAAAGCACUUUAAGUUGGGAGGCGUUACCAGCAGAAGAAGCACCGGCUAACUCCGUGCCAGCAGCCGCGGUAAUUC
rnacentral:rRNA from 1 species